UUUUCCUAGCUGUUUAUUACUUAAAAUAUUUGAGAAAUUUUCAAAUUAUUUUACGCUUUAUUAUCUGAAGUUGAAAUAAUCAUAGAAAUUCUUUUCACUUUGAAGAUUCUAUCAAACGUUACGCCUUCUUACGAUCCGAAAUGCUUAGAAGAGAAAAGGUAAACUUUCUGGAUGGCAAGUUUAAAAAUGAAAAAACAAAAAAAAAUUUUUUGAAUAAAUUAAAGGAAUUUAAAAUAACAUUUGUUUCCGUCUGUUCGUACACUGUCUUAGCUGACGUCAUCCGCAUCGGCCAAUACCGACCAGGUAGGAGUGUAAACUUUUCUCACCUGCCCGACCGGUUUUUCUUAUGUAGUAGACCUCAACAGACAAACGCGCAAAAGCAUGGCCACUACACCGAUCUGCAGGUGUCGUGUCCUCUAUCUGGGAUCGUCCGUGCCUCAUAUAACCAAAGAUGGACUACAAGGUAUUCAAGAGCCAUUGAGAGAAUUAUAUCCCGAACAAGGACCGCUAAGUGCUCGUGGAAUAGACUCAUGGUUGAGUGUGUGGAGUAAUGGACUUUUGUUGGAAAAUGUGGACGAAUCACGACGUGAAGUCACGCGCUUUUUUCCGGUGGAAACUUUACAUUAUUGCGCUGCUGUUCGUUAUAUGGUGGUUCCUGGAAGUGGUGCACAAGGUGUGGAAAAAUUUCUUCCUUUGGAUAGUCCCUUUGGUCAUCGUGCCGGACAAAAUUCUGGUCAUCCUCCGCUCUUUGCUUGUAUUCUUAGAAGAACAGAAGGAAUCAAAGUAUUAGAAUGCCAUGCUUUUAUUUGUAAGAAAGAAGCUGCCGCCAAUGCAUUGGUUAGGUGUUGUUUUCACGCUUAUGCUGACAAUAUAUAUGCCCGUCAAAUGGAGGAAAAUCCUUAUUAUCUCGAUACAAGAAGAUCCAGAUCUAUGUCUGGCUUAAACACAUUGGAAAAAGUCGAGGAAUGGCGUAGAAGUCACGACGAGAAAUCAGAAUUUACUACCAAUGGAUUUACUAAUGGAAACGAUAUCAUAAGUGAUAAUUCACAGCAAGAUGAUAAUUAUAAAGUGUGGACUGGUAGACCACAUGUGGAAAAAGAGGCCAUCUAUUCUGAUGUGGGAGGCACUUUUCGUAGCAAUCAAUCUAUUACGGCUACUAAGAACAAACCUCGGCAGAUGAUAUUACCGUCUCGGCCUCCUCCUCCUUUACCGGUUGAAAACAAUAAAAUGAAACCAGCCAAGAAUCUCAAAUCCAAGCAGGAAUCAAUGUCACAGAUGACAAACGGUAAUUAUUACAGAUCAGUAUCUUCCAUGGGAAGACCACCUCGUCAUCAGAACCAGAUAUACGCUACAUCGGGUCUGUAUACAGAAAGAAGAAAUAAGCGGUUUGAUAGGGCUUAUUUACCUGCAGAAGAACCCUUAUAUAUGCCUUCUAUCAGACCUACAAGUCCAGUAUCAUCAUAUCAGCCAUCUGCAUUUCCACACGAGCAAUAUUACAUGCAAUUUAAUACUGCUCCUCGUCAUCAUUCUAGAACACCCAGAAGAAGAAGACAUAUAGGACCGGAAAGCCCUUCUGAGCCUUCUCAGUCGGAAGUGGAUUCUCCAUUUAAUACAGGUAUCUAUAAAAAGAAAGGACAUUUGAACGAACGGGCAUUCUCUUACUCUAUACGACAAGAGCACACUUCUCGUUCUAAUAGUCUAGCUAAUUUGCAAUUUUUUGCAAAUGGUGAUGGACCUUCAGGAGUUCAAGAAACCCAAGCAGAAGUAACAAGGAUGAUGGCAUCCGUGGACCUCAAUGGAAGCGUAAUGAAUGGACAUGGAGGAAGAAAAAAACAUUCCAGUCAUAAAAAAUGAAAUACACUGCAAAAAUAUUUCACAUGUAAAAGUUUUAAACUUCCGUUUAAAAACUUUUAUAUUUGACUAUAUAACAACUAUAGAAUUUGGAACAUGCAAAGUUAAUUGGAGUGAAGAAAGUGAAAUGGUUUUGUAUGUAUCAGAAUCAAAACUAGUUUUAUCGAAUUUGGAACAAUUUAAUCUGGAAAAUACUAUAAUAUUAUGCUGUAGUAAAGUUUAUAUGAACUUGGCUUGGGGCAAAAAUUCUUUCUAAGAGGUGACUUCCUGAACCAACUUGCGCUGCAACUACGCCUAUGACGUCAUCUAAGAGGAAUGCGAAAUGCCGAAGCUAUUACUUGCGCUACAAAGUAGCGGUAUCUACAGAAAGAAAAUAGUUAUUUUUUUCUUCCUUUAUUUUUAGAGUUCGGGAUAUUUCCAACAAAAAUUAUUCCAAGAAUUUCAAGUUAUAGUUUCUUAAGGAAGAAACUAGUUGGCCCUACGCUCGAUGACGUUUUCCAUUGAGAAAUUCCACGAACGAUCAAGAACGGAAUUGUUUGAUUUCUUUCAAAGGAACAAAGUUUGUUUUUAUUUUGUAUAUGAAAAAUAAAAUUCCAUAUGUACAGGUACAACGUUCAUUUAUAAAAUGUAAAAGUAUACCCUCGAAAAUGUUUCUUAAACUUAAUUACUCAAUACUUGUACGACGUCUUGUAUCUUGUGUAUAAUAAUAACAAUUAAUAAUAAUA